UAGCCUUUGAAUCUCUCCCAGGCUUCACUGAAUCCUUCCAAGUUCUUCUGUUGGAAACUGGCGAUCUCAUUUCUCAGCUU
rfam:Brassica napus, WGS project CCCW01000000 data, contig: 10013